UACGAAGGGGGCUAGCGUUGCUCGGAAUCACUGGGAGUAAAGGGUGCGUAGGCGGGCCUUUAAGUCAGGGGUGAAAUCCUGGAGCUCAACUCCAGAACUGCCUUUGAUACUGAAGAUCUUGAGUUCGGGAGAGGUGAGUGGAACUGCGAGUGUAGAGGUGAAAUUCGUAGAUAUUCGCAAGAACACCAGUGGCGAAGGCGGCUCACUGGCCCGAUACUGACGCUGAGGCACGAAAGCGUGGGGAGCAAACAGG
rnacentral:rRNA from 1 species